rnacentral:rRNA from 1 species
GUGUCAGCCGCCGCGGUAAUACAGAGGGUGCGAGCGUUGUCCGGAAUCACUGGGCGUAAAGGGCGCGUAGGCGGUGACUUAAGCGUGCGGUGAAAGCUCGGGGCUCAACCCCGAGUCGGCCGUGCGAACUGGGGAGCUGGAGCACGUCAGAGGCAGGCGGAAUUCCGGGUGUAGCGGUGGAAUGCGUAGAGAUCCGGAAGAACACCGGUGGCGAAGGCGGCCUGCUGGGGUGGAGCUGACGCUGAGGCGCGACAGCGUGGGGAGCAAACAGGAUUAGAUACCCCAGUAGUCC